rnacentral:rRNA from 1 species
AUUGAACGCUGGCGGCAGGCCUAACACAUGCAAGUCGAGCGGAUGAAGGGAGCUUGCUCCUGGAUUCAGCGGCGGACGGGUGAGUAAUGCCUAGGAAUCUGCCUGGUAGUGGGGGAUAACGUCCGGAAACGGGCGCUAAUACCGCAUACGUCCUGAGGGAGAAAGUGGGGGAUCUUCGGACCUCACGCUAUCAGAUGAGCCUAGGUCGGAUUAGCUAGUUGGUGGGGUAAAGGCCUACCAAGGCGACGAUCCGUAACUGGUCUGAGAGGAUGAUCAGUCACAGGGGAAAGGAAACAGGGCAAGAACUAAGGGGGGGGAAGAAAGGGGGAAAUGGGGAAGAAGGGGAGAAGUCGGGACCAAGACGGGCGGGGGGUGGAAGAAGGGUUUUGGAAUGUAAAAGAAUUUAAAGGGGGGAGAAAGGGAAAAAAGUAAAUACUUUGCUGUUUUAACGUAACAAAAAAAAAAAAACCCGGAAACCUUGGAC